UAAGACCAUUAAAAAGGCUGCUAACCUUUAAUAAAUGUUUUCAUUUGGUCUUUA
rnacentral:tRNA from 1 species